AAUGCUCGACCUCGAACUCCUCUUUCUUUGCUGUCUUGGCUACAGGUGAGAUUUUGUUGUGGAAAAAGAAGAGAUUUUGUUCCUUGUCAUUUUUUAUGGUUUUUCUUUUUGAUAUUGAAGGCUUGGGACUCAAUCUUGGCUAGAAUGAUAUGAUCCUCAAAUCUAUGGGUCUUUAGUUUGUACAAGUGGGGCCCAUGAUUUGGUAAUAUAGACCAUUGACAUGAUGUACUGCAAUUAAGAAAAACUUAGUCAUCUUGAAGCUUAACUGAGUGGACUCAACUAAAUUUGGAGCUGAGUCUGCCACAAACUUGGCACUGACCAAGACUAGGCAAGUCGAAUAACCCCUUUAGUGGACUCACAGCCAUGGUCGACUGGUCUUUUCUUCUUUAAGAGCUUUGGUCAUUCGUGAAUUGUUAUGCAGGUGAGGUUUUUUUUUUUUUUUUUGGUCAUUUAUUAUUAUUAUUAUUGUCGUCAUAAAUUUCAUAUAUAACAAACCUUAUUCUCAUUUUCCUUUUGACUUAACUGAACCACCAUUCUCUUGCCUUUGAGGAGUUUGACCAAAAGGUCACUUGAAAGCAUUCCACAGUUUGCCAAGAAUGAGUUUGCUCUGCCUGUGGUGACUGAGGAUCCAAUGCAUCAUUACCCACUGGGGCCAAGAAGAAUGAAUAGGGAAUUUUCAAUGGAUCACCUACAACUCUAAAAAUCGAAAGUUAGGAUCACUGAAGCAUGAUCGUGGGGCAAUAGUUUAUUUAUGGUAGCAAUGAGAAUAUUGACUGCUCAAAUCACAGUACAUCUCAGCAUAUGGUAGGGUGGUGAUACAGGACCCUGAACUGUGCAUGGGAGAAUUGAUUGAAUAUUCGGAGCUGACCAAGUAGGGUUUGGAUCAGAUUCAACUGAAAAUAAACCAAAUGGCUAGGAUGUUUUUAUUUUGUAGAUUUUUUUGAUGUAUUGUGCUUCCAUGGUGGUACAUAAGAUACCACCAGCAACUGAGAUAUUGUAAAAAACUGAAAAUCAGAUGAUACGAUUCUUAUGUUGAAACAUUAACCUCGUAUGUAGUUCGCACCCAAAUGCUCUAGAGCCAGCUGCGUUUUGCCUU